UACGUAGGUGGCGAGCGUUGUCCGGAUUUACUGGGCGUAAAGGGCGUGCAGGCGGUUUGUUAAGUGCAGGGUGAAAGCUCCCGGCUCAACUGGGAGAGGUCCUUGCAUACUGGCGAACUCGAGGGAGGCAGAGGGAAGUGGAAUUCCCGGUGUAGUGGUGAUAUGCGUAGAUAUCGGGAGGAACACCUGUGGCGAAGGCGGCUUUCUGGGCCUUACCUGACGCUGAGACGCGAAAGCGUGGGGAGCGAACCGG
rnacentral:rRNA from 1 species